rnacentral:rRNA from 1 species
UACAGAGGAGCCAAGCGUUGUCCGGAUUGACUGGGCGUAAAGCGCACGCAGGCGGUUUGGCGCGUGGGGUGUGAAAUCUGGCCGCUUAACGGCCAGGCGCCAUCCCAUACGGCUAAACUGGAGUGAUGCAGAGGUCGGUGGAAUUGCCGGUGUAGUGGUGAAAUGCGUAGAGAUCGGCAGGAACACCCAGGGGGAAACCAGCCGACUGGGCAUCGACUGACGCUGAGGUGCGAGAGCGUGGGGAGCGAACAGG